GUCUACGGCCAUGCCACCCUGAACAAGCCCUAUCCCGUCUGAUCUUGGAAGCUAAGCAGGGUAGGGCCUGGUUAGUACUUGGAUGGGAGACCACCUAGGAAGACAAGGUGCUGUAGGCA
rnacentral:rRNA from 1 species